AAUGAACGUUGGCGGCGUGGAUUAGGCAUGCAAGUCGAGCGCGAUAUGUAGCAAUACAUGGAGAGCGGCGAAAGGGAGAGUAAUACGUAGGUAUCUAUCCUCGGGUCUGGGAUAGCAGCGGGAAACUGCUGGUAAUACCAGAUAACGUCUCCGGACCAAAGGUGUGAUUCCACCUGAGGAGGAGCAUACGGCCUAUUGGCUAGUUGGUAGGGUAACGGCCUACCAAGGCAAAGAUGGGUAUGGGGUGUGAGAGCAUGCCCCCACUCACUGGGACUGAGACACUGCCCAGACACCUACGGGUGGCUGCAGUCGAGAAUCUUCGGCAAUGGGCGAAAGCCUGACCGAGCGACGCCGCGUGCGGGAUGAAGGCCUUCGGGUUGUAAACCGCUGUCGUAGUGGAGGAAAUGUAGGAGAGUUAUCUCUUUUACUUGACUAAUACUAGGAGGAAGGACCGGCUAAUCUCGUGCCAGCCGCCGCCGUAAUAC
rnacentral:rRNA from 1 species